UUUCAAAAAAUCGCUUUUUUUUUUUUUGCUUUAAAUAGUUCCUUAGGGUCUCAGAAAUAACAUAUUGCAGGAUUAUGGCUCGGAAAAAUCUCUAAAUAAUUUAUUUUCGAAGUUCCUUGCAAGGCUGCACGGUACGCGGCGAGCUCCUUUUGUCAGUUCUACGGGGGGUGAUUUUUGAAGGAUCUACAGCAGGUAUACGGCAGAUGUUUUCAAAGGCGCUAGUUACUUGCUAGACUAUAGUCUAUUCUACACAAUUGCAGGCAUUGCAGAUUAAAGUAGCAGUUAGUUCGGCCACGUACCCCUUGAACCAUAGAGGAGUCGAAGGACGACCGCUACAGCGCCACCAUUCUUCAAGAAAUAUUUAUAAGAAAUUAUUUUUUUACACCUAAAAAGAUGUAUAAUAAACUUCUUAUAUUAUAUUUUUAA